GGACAGAAUGGAGCACACCUUGCUCUGUUUGCUACUAUUGCUGAGUACACACAUCUACUCUGGACACUCUGAAGAUGAUGGAAAGGCAAAGGCUGUUCUGACCAUAUACCCCACAUCCUCCCAGAUAUUCAGUGGAGAGUCUGUCACUCUCAGAUGUAACAUACAGAGG